GGCGGGUUGGCAGAAUGGCUAUGCAGCGGAUUGCAAAUCCGUGGAUCUCGGUUCGAAUCCGGGACCCGCCUCCA
rnacentral:tRNA from 1 species